AUUGAACGCUGGCGGCAUGCUUUAUACAUGCAAGUCGAACGGUAACAGGCCGCAAGGUGCUGACGAGUGGCGAACGGGUGAGUAAUGCAUCGGAACGUGCCCAGUCGUGGGGGAUAACGCAGCGAAAGCUGCGCUAAUACCGCAUACGAUCUAUGGAUGAAAGCGGGGGACCGUAAGGCCUCGCGCGAUUGGAGCGGCCGAUGUCAGAUUCGGUAGUUGGUGGGGUAAAGGCUCACCAAGCCAACGAUCUGUAGCUGGUCUGAGAGGACGACCAGCCACACUGGGAAUGUGACACGGACCAGACUACUACGGGAGGCAGCAGUGGGGGAUUUUGGACAAUGGGCGCAAGCCUGAUCCAGCUAUGCCGCGUGCAGGAAGAAGGCCUUCGGGUUGUAAACUGCUUUUGUACGGAACGAAACGGUCCUGGUUAAUACCCGGGGCUAAUGACGGUACCGUAAGAAUAAGCACCGGCUAACUACGUGCCAGCAGCCGCGGUAAGAC
rnacentral:rRNA from 1 species